UACGAACUGUGCGAACGUUAUUCGGAAUCACUGGGCUUACAGGGUGCGUAGGCGGCUCAACAAGUCAGGUGUGAAAGCCCCCGGCUCAACCGGGGAACUGCGAUUGAAACUGUUAGGCUCGAGUCAGCUAGAGGUACACGGAACUUCCAGUGGAGCGGUGAAAUGUGUUGAUAUUGGAAGGAACACCGGAGGCGAAAGCGGUGUACUGGGGCUGGUCUGACGCUGAGGCACGAAAGCCAGGGAGCGAACGGG
rnacentral:rRNA from 1 species